GGUACCCUCUUGAUCCGGAUGGAAGAGAGCUUGAGGCAAACUGUGAUACCAAAGAGAGAGUCAGAACUAUCCGCAGAAGAGACGGGUCGGUAUCAUCGUUCGAAGUGGAGAAGAACGUGAAUAUUCCUAGCCAGGAGUUUAAGGUUGGAGAUGUCUGCCUAGCUGACAAAGAUGGAUCAGUCGUAAUCGAGCGUACCAACCUGUCGACGUACUUGAAUGCUGGGGACCAAUUGUUACAGAUUAAUGACAUCGAUGUGGAACACAAGGGAAAAGAUUUUGCUCAUAUUUGUCUCGGCAGUGUGAGCUCAUCUCAUAUAAACCUCAAAAUUCUCCGACGGUUUCACCAGGGAUGAUGGUUUAAGUUCCAAGGUGUCACCCAAGACUUCCUGAAUAGUCUUAUUUGUGGACAUGAAUGUAUUCUCCAUCCGUUUCUUCUUAGGAUCAAAUGCCAGCUUUCUACGUCACAGUACAUAAUGGCAAAUAGCGAGGUUCCGGAGAGGACAAGUGGUGCAAUCGUCCCUAUAGUUUGAAAAACAUCCACCAAUAUAAAAGAUAAUGCCAAGACCGAAUCAUGCGUCUUGCACUGGACGGGAUUUGUGUAGCGACUCAGGAAGACGAAGAUGAAGACGGAGGAGGAGAAUAAGAAUAAAAUGUGAAGGAAAA